CCUACGUGAGGCAGCAGUAGGGAAUCUUCCACAAUGGACGAAAGUCUGAUGGAGCAACGCCGCGUGAGUGAAGAAGGGUUUCGGCUCGUAAAGCUCUGUUGGUAGGGAAGAAAGAUAGAGGUAGUAACUGGCCUUUAUUUGACGGUAAUUACUUAGAAAGUCACGGCUAACUACGUGCCAGGAGCCGCGGUAAUACGUAGGUGGCAAGAGUUGUCCGGAUUGAUUGGGCGUAAAGCGAGUGCAGGCGGUUCAAUAAGUCUGAUGUGAAAGCCUUCGGCUCAACCGGAGAAUUGCAUCAGAAACUGUUGAACUUGAGUGCAGAAGAGGAGAGUGGAACUCCAUGUGUAGCGGUGGAAUGCGUAGAUAUAUGGAAGAACACCAGUGGCGAAGGCGGCGCUCUGGUCUGCAACUGACGCUGAGGCUCGAAAGCAUGGGUAGCGAACAGGAUUAGAUACCCUUGUAGUC
rnacentral:rRNA from 1 species